UCAAUAUGAAAAUGAGUGAUGCCCAUCGUGCACUUCUUCCCCAGACAGAAUUUAAGAACACGCUGUAUCUCCAUACUGUACAUUUCUCAGUAAAAGGCCAAUUCUGUUUUAUUCCUUUUUUCCUAAUGACAGUUACAAAUCUAUCAUUUCUAUUUUGAAAACGGUAAUAUUGGUGCAAUAUAAACCAAAUGAAAUCCUAGUCCUUCCAGAAGAAUUGCCUUUAAACAUACAGAUCACAAACAUCUAUCCUUAAGAAGCCUGAUGAAGUUGCCAAGCAAGAAACCGAAGUACUGAAAUAAGAUACGGGUAGCAUCAUCCACUUAAACGAAACUGUAGAGGAGAAAGGUGUUGCUCAUUUUUUAACAAUCUGCUGGAAGAAAAAAAAAAAAAAAAAAAAAAAGCAAAAAAGCAUGUUUUACAGUAUUAUAGCAAAAAGCAUAGGAUACAUUAUGAACACUGACUCAAAAUCACAUUUAAAGAAGAAAGGCUAAAUGAAAGAUAUUUUCAAAUUAGGUUGGGCAAUGACUUCAUAACACACCAAAGAAUAACGGUUAGCAGAGAAGAUGCUCAAGCAAAUAGACAAAACAUCUACCAGAAAAUUGUCUACAGCUACGUGCAGAAAUGAACAAAAACAAACAAAACCAAAACCAUACACAUUGCCUGUGGAUACUCAGUCACAUCCACAUGCAUAAAAACUGUGAUGGUAACUGUGAAGAAACUGUCUCUCUAAGCAUGAACAGACAGAGGUACUACACGAAAUGAAAUCUCCACAGAAAAUAAAAAUCCAAUUAUUAU